AAAAAGCUCGUAGUUGGAUUUCUGUUGAGGACGACCGGUCCAUUCAAUGAGUGCGUAUCGGUUCGGCCUUGGCAUCCUUGACGAAAUGAUUUCUGCGCUUGACUGCGUGGUGUUAGGUCGUCAACUUUUACUUUGAGGAAAUUAGAGUGUUCACGGCAGGCUAUCGCCAGAAUACAUUAGCAUGGAAUAAUACUAUAGGGUUUUGGUCCUAUUUUGUUGGUUUCUAGGAUUGAAAUAAUGAUUAAUAGGGACAAUUGGGGGCAUUCGUAUCAACACGUCAGAGGUGGAAUUCUUGGAUUGUGUUGCGACGAACUACUGCGAAAGCAUUUGCCAAGGAUGUUUUCAUUGAUCAAGAACGAAAGUAAGGGGAUCGAAGAUGAUUAGAUACCGUCGUAGUCUUUACCACAAACUAUGCCAACUAGAGAUGGGUCAUCGUUCAUAUACGACUUGAUCCGCACCUUAUGAGAUAUCAAAGUCUUUGGGUUCCGGGGGGAGUAUGGUCGCAAGGCUGGAACUUAAAGGAAUUGACGGAAGGGCACCACCAGGAGUGGAGCCUGCGGCUUAAUUUGACUCAACACGGGGAAACUCACCAGGUCCAGACAUAAUAAGGAUUGACAGAUUGAUAGCUCNUUUCUUGAUUUUAUGGGGUGGGUGGUGGCAUGGCCGUUCCUUAGUUCGUGGGAG
rnacentral:rRNA from 1 species